rnacentral:rRNA from 1 species
GAUGAACGCUGGCGGCGUGCCUAAUACAUGCAAGUCGAGCGAACAGACGAGGAGCUUGCUCCUCUGACGUUAGCGGCGGACGGGUGAGUAACACGUGGAUAACCUACCUAUAAGACUGGGAUAACUUCGGGAAACCGGAGCUAAUACCGGAUAAUAUAUUGAACCGCAUGGUUUAAUAGUGAAAGACGGUUUUGCUGUCACUUAUAGAUGGAUCCGCGCCGCAUUAGCUAGUUGGUAAGGUAACGGCUUACCAAGGCAGCGAUGCGUAGCCGACCUGAGAGGGUGAUCGGCCACACUGGAACUGAGACACGGUCCAGACUCCUACGGGAGGCAGCAGUAGGGAAUCUUCCGCAAUGGGCGAAAGCCUGACGGAGCAACGCCGCGUGAGUGAUGAAGGUCUUCGGAUCGUAAAACUCUGUUAUUAGGGAAGAACAAAUGUGUAAGUAACUAUGCACGUCUUGACGGUACCUAAUCAGAAAGCCACGGCUAACUACGUG